rnacentral:rRNA from 1 species
AGUCAAUAGAUACCCCGGUAGUCCACGCCGUAAACGAUGUCGACUUGGAGGUUGUGCCCUUGAGGCGUGGCUUCCGGAGCUAAACGCGUUAAGUCGACCGCCUGGGGAGUACGGCCGCAAGGUUAAAACUCAAAUGAAUUGACGGGGGCCCGGCACAAGCGGUGGAGCAUGUGGUUUAAUUCGAUGCAACGCGAAGAACCUUACCUACUCUUGACAUCCAGAGAACUUAGCAGAGAUGCUUUGGUGCCUUCGGGAACUCUGAGACAGGUGCUGCAUGGCUGUCGUCAGCUCGUGUUGUGAAAUGUUGGGUUAAGUCCCGCAACGAGCGCAACCCUUAUCCUUUGUUGCCAGCGGUCCGGCCGGGAACUCAAAGGAGACUGCCAGUGAUAAACCUGGAGGAAGGCGGGGUAUGACGUCAAGUCAUCAUGGCCCUUACGAGUAGGGCUACACACGUGCUACAAUGGCGCAUACAAAGAGAAGCGACCUCGCGAGAGCAAGCGGACCUCAUAAAGUGCGUCGUAGUCCGG